rnacentral:misc_RNA from 1 species
GAAAUGCGAUAAGUAAUGUGAAUUGCAGAAUUCAGUGAAUCAUCGAAUCUUUGAACGCACAUUGCGCUCGCCAAUAUUCUGGCGAGCAUGCCUGUUCGAGCGUCAUUUCAACCAUCAAGCUCUGCUUGCGUUGGGGAUCCGCGGCUGCCCGCGGUCCCUCAAAAACAGUGGCGGGCUCGCUAGUCACACCGAGCGUAGUAACUCUACAUCGCUAUGGUCGUGCGGCGGGUUCUUGCCGUAAAACCCCCAAUUUCUAAGGUUGACCUCGGAUCAGGUAGGAAUACCCGCUGAACUUAAGC